rnacentral:rRNA from 1 species
AUACGUAGGGGGCGAGCGUUGUCCGGAAUGAUUGGGCGUAAAGGGCGCGUAGGCGGCCCGGUAAGUCUGGAGUGAAAGUCCUGUUUUUAAGAUGGGAAUUGCUUUGGAUACUGUCGGGCUUGAGUGCAGGAGAGGUAAGUGGAAUUCCCAGUGUAGCGGUGAAAUGCGUAGGGAUUGGGAGGAACACCAGUGGCGAAGGCGACUUACUGGACUGUAACUGACGCUGAGGCGCGAAAGUGUGGGGAGCAAACAGGAUUAGAUACCCUGGUAGUCCACACUGUAAACGAUGAAUGCUAGGUGUAGGGGGUAUCGACCCCUUCUGUGCCGCAGUCAACACAAUAAGCAUUCCGCCUGGGGAGUACGGCCGCAAGGUUGAAACUCAAAUGAAUUGACGGGG